GUUUUAAUUUUACAUUUAUCAAAUUCUAAGUGUGUCUUAUAAAACAAAUCAAUUACACCCUUUCUGCUUUAAGUAAAUAAUACACUUAAAGAAAUGAUAACUGUUA